GACGAACGCUGGCGGCGUGCCUAAUACAUGCAAGUUGAGCGCUGAAGGUUGGUACUUGUACCGACUGGAUGAGCAGCGAACGGGUGAGUAACGCGUGGGGAAUCUGCCUUUGAGCGGGGGACAACAUUUGGAAACGAAUGCUAAUACCGCAUAAAAACUUUAAACACAAGUUUUAAGUUUGAAAGAUGCAAUUGCAUCACUCAAAGAUGAUCCCGCGUUGUAUUAGCUAGUUGGUGAGGUAAAGGCUCACCAAGGCGAUGAUACAUAGCCGACCUGAGAGGGUGAUCGGCCACAUUGGGACUGAGACACGGCCCAAACUCCUACGGGAGGCAGCAGUAGGGAAUCUUCGGCAGUAGACGAAAGUCUGACCGAGCAACGCCGCGUGAGUGAAGAAGGUUUUCGGAUCGUAAAACUCUGUUGGUAGAGAAGAACGUUGGUGAGAGUGGAAAGCUCAUCAAGUGACGGUAACUACCCAGAAAGGGACGGCUAACUACGUG
rnacentral:rRNA from 1 species